rnacentral:lncRNA from 1 species
AUGCAGUGUACGUUUUGUAGAUGACAGUCCUUCGGCACCAUGGUGGGCUGGCCGCGAUGUUCAGGGUACUUCACCUGGACCUGUGCGACUACGUAUGAGGAGCUGCGUCGCCUGGAAUUUAUCUAGGGCCACUGCGAGCUUCGGCAGCAAAGAAAUGGGUGAGCCCCUGAAUUCUACAGGCUGACGAGGAGCGCUCAUCGACUAACGUCCUGACGCGCCCCGAGCUACUCCGGGGUAUCUUGCGCACUACCGCCAAGGGACCCUUUGUGGCGGACGUGCUAUUGGCAUUGCACCAAUCGACUUUCCGGCCUCUGGCACCAUCCAGUGGAUGCAACGUCGAAACACGCAUCGCCUUCCGAACCCGGCCUACGCCUCUUGGAUGGCCCAGGCAAUCCUCGAAAUUCACCUGUCCUGUGGCCAUGGUGUCAUUGCGUCCACAAGGAUGCGCCUCCUGGUCCCUGCCUCUUGCUUACCAAACCAGAUUGCCUGCCACGUUUGACCUGUGCCUCCCGGAUGGGCAAGGCAAUACUACAGAUACCCCUAUCAUGUGGACAUGGUGUCUCUGAUGUACACGAGUAUGCGCAUCUAGCUUGUCUUCUGAGGAAUGCAUCGUAAAAGCAAGCCCACUACUGUGGUCUGUCGUUUGGUGUUCACUCCGUGUGAGGACUUUUUUCAGAAUUGCUGUUCAUCAUCACUCCAACGAUUCCUCCAGUGUAUGAAGAGUGGGUCACAGACAGCAUCCUGUGCUGCUUCCUUGAGACAUGUCUGUGAUCUCUGGGACCACCCUGCGCCAUGCAGCGAAUCUAGUGUUUUUACCGACUAUGUCUAAUAUCAUCAUCAGUAACAGCAGCCUGA